rnacentral:lncRNA from 1 species
UCCUCCCACUGAAUGCUUCUCUCCUUUUGCAGGUGUUAGUGAAUCAGCAGGUGGGUUAGAUCAUCCUUCUCCUUUACUACCCUGGACCAGCAGGCUCCUGAGCACUGCUGUACAUAUGGCUGAGCACCUGUGGAAACAAGAUUUACAUCCACCUCCAAGCACUGUGUCCUUUGAAAAUUUCCAAUGAUUUACAUUUCAUUUCUGUACUUACCACAAAUACUUAGCUUUCUAAUUUUUAUUCCCUGAAUAAAAUUUUUGGCUU